AAAAACAUUAAAAAAUUAGAAACUAAGUUCAUUUACUCGAGUUUCACGCCUAUAUUGGCGAUCAUCAGACUGCCUAUAUAGGCGUGAAACUCGAGUAAAUGAACUUAGUUUCUAAUUUUUUAAUGCUUUU